rnacentral:tRNA from 1 species
GUGGGUAUAGCUCAGUGGUUUAGAGCGUCGGGUUGUGGCCCCGAAGGUCGCGGGUUCGAUUCCCGUUACCCACC